rnacentral:precursor_RNA from 1 species
AAUAGGUGGACUACUGAACAUCUCUGCGAGAGUACAUGCCAAGUUGCAAGAUGUCCCUUUAAGGUCGGUCCACAAAGAUUUUGCAUAUCCAAACUAGUUCCAAUUUUCAAUGAUCUAAUUAAUUCCAAAGACAAAAAACAACAUGGAAGAAUGUCCAUAAAAUAAUCAAUAUAUAUUUUGAAUCAUGGCCGGAAGGAAAAACCAAAACUUCAGUAAGCUAUUCAGCAGAGAUAUAUAUCAUCAAACCCCAUAAAAGAAACAAACGUGAAAGCUUCUUUUUGCUCACCUUUCUUCUCAAGUUUUCCAAUCCAUUCUCAGAAAACUCAUGAGAACAGUACCAUCCCUACACAACUGUUUCCUUGCCUUUCCUGCAUAUGGGCCAUGAAAGGCCACAACAUUCAUGUCAAGAAUCUGAAGAAUCCAUGGAUGGAUCCAAAACCAAAUCACCAACCAAAGGAAAAAACUUAAAAAAAGAAAAAAAAAAAAGGAUCGCAAAAAAUUACCUUUUGAGAAUAAAUAUCCUAACUCAUGCAGCAUCAUUAAGAUUCUCUCUCUUUCCAGUUAUAGACAAAGUCCCAUAUUCCCCAUCUCCAGCAAGAAGUUCCUGAAAGACACCAUUUCCAUAUAAGCAAAUUUUGCUCAGAAGAAUAUUCACAGAUCUGCAUAAGUUCAGCACAGGUCCUUGAAUAGCCUAUAAGAUUCUAUUCUCCCACGCAGUGCAAAGAAGAGCUGGCACAGACAGUAAAUCCAUUGACAAUAGAUUGCUUUAGUAAAAAAAAAAGAGAAAAAAAAAUCCCAGAAAAUUGAAAGAAAACCCACCUGACAGCAACAGACAACAACAGAAAGUACUAAGAAAGAGAAGAUCACCUGGUGGUUGUUGCGGGAAUCCUUUUUUGUAUAUAUAGUCGUUUAUUGCCGAAGCAGCAUCAUCAAGAUUCUCACUUUUGAAAGAACUUUGGCAGACAGAUUAUGCAAUCACCCACCGUCCAUUUGCAUGUGAAUCUUGAUGAUGCCACACCCGCAAACAACUGACUGUCAAUCUAUCAUUCAUGCACAGAGCCUGAUUAAUUGAAUUAAUAUCAUGGAAGAAAGAAGAAAGUUGUACCUCUGAACAUUUCCU